rnacentral:lncRNA from 1 species
UUCUCAUCUUUCUUACUCAAAUCAUGAAUUCUCUCUGCAACAACAUCAAGAGACUCUUAGCAGAUUGUGAAAUCUUUGAAGGCAGGGACUAGUCAAUGUCUUUCUUUGGAUCCUCAGUACUUAGAAUAAUGCCCAGCAAAUAGCAGAGAGAAAUCUUGCUAUUA